AACGCACGAGACCUGCGGACCUGCGGAAGGAUCAUUACAUGAUUUGAGGGGGCUCACGUCCCCUCAUCCAACCCACAAACCCCGAGGAACUUUUAUGUCGAGUGGUUCGGCGCUCUCUUUGAGAGCCGCCCCUCAAACGCAUCGCAGGCUUUUCGUGAAGGUCUGAUGUGUCACAUCGUGAGUAUUAGAACUUUUAACAACGGAUCUCU
rnacentral:misc_RNA from 1 species